rnacentral:rRNA from 1 species
GUCUACGGCAAUAUCACCUGGAACGUGCCUGACCUCAGAAGCUAAAGGAGUUGAAUCUGAUCAGUCGUUGGAUUUGGAGACUGUUUGGGAGUCCUGGGUGCUGUUGGAA